rnacentral:rRNA from 1 species
GAUGAACGCUGGCGGCGUGCCUAAUACAUGCAAGUCGAGCGAACAGACGAGGAGCUUGCUCCUCUGACGUUAGCGGCGGACGGGUGAGUAACACGUGGAUAACCUACCUAUAAGACUGGGAUAACUUCGGGAAACCGGAGCUAAUACCGGAUAAUAUAUUGAACCGCAUGGUUCAAUAGUGAAAGACGGUUUUGCUGUCACUUAUAGAUGGAUCCGCGCCGCAUUAGCUAGUUGGUAAGGUAACGGCUUACCAAGGCAACGAUGCGUAGCCGACCUGAGAGGGUGAUCGGCCACAUUGGAACUGAGACACGGUCCAGACUCCUACGGGAGGCAGCAGUAGGGAAUCUUCCGCAAUGGGCGAAAGCCUGACGGAGCAAGGCCGCGUGAGUGAUGAAGGUCUUCGGAUCGUAAAACUCUGUUAUUAGGGAAGAACAAAUGUGUAAGUAACUAUGCACGUCUUGACGGUACCUAAUCAGAAAGCCACGGCUAACUACGUG